rnacentral:misc_RNA from 1 species
GAUGAAGAACUUAGUGAAAUGCGAUACGUAAUGUGAAUUGCAGAAUUCAGUGAAUCAUCGAGUCUUUGAACGCACAUUGCGCCCCCUGGUAUUCCGGGGGGCAUGCCUGUCCGAGCGUCAUUGCUGCCCUCAAGCCCGGCUUGUGUGUUGGGUCUCGUCCCCCUUCCCGGGGGGACGGGCCCGAAAGGCAGCGGCGGCACCGUGUCCGGUCCUCGAGCGUAUGGGGCUUUGUCACCCGCUCUGUAGGCCCGGCCGGCGCUUGCCGAUCAACCAAAACUUUUUUCCAGGUUGACCUCGGAUCAGGUAGGGAUACCCGCUGAACUUAAGCAUAUCAAUAAGCGGAGGA